rnacentral:siRNA from 1 species
UAAAUUCGUCCUUAAUCUCAA